AAAAAAAUCAGCUAAUUAAGCUUAUAGAUUCAUACUCUGUUAAUGAAAGUUAUAAUCUUUCUUUUUUUA
rnacentral:tRNA from 1 species